GAUGAACGCUAGCUACAGGCUUAACACAUGCUAGUCGAGGGGAAACGAUAUUGGAAGCUUGCUUCCGAUAGGCGUCGACCGGCGCACGGGUGAGUAACGCGUAUCCAACCUGCCCACCACUUGGGGAUAACCUUGCGAAAGUAAGACUAAUACCCAAUGAUAUCCAUAGAAGACAUCUGAAAUGGAUUAAAGAUUUAUCGGUGAUGGAUGGGGAUGCGUCUGAUUAGCUUGUUGGCGGGGUAACGGCCCACCAAGGCGACGAUCAGUAGGGGUUCUGAGAGGAAGGUCCCCCACAUUGGAACUGAGACACGGUCCAAACUCCUACGGGAGGCAGCAGUGAGGAAUAUUGGUCAAUGGGCGAGAGCCUGAACCAGCCAAGUAGCGUGCAGGAUGACGGCCCUAUGGGUUGUAAACUGCUUUUAUAAGGGAAUAAAGUGGGAGUCGUGACUCCUUUUGCAUGUACCUUAUGAAUAAGGACCGGCUAAUUCCGUGCCAGCCGCCGCGGUAA
rnacentral:rRNA from 1 species